rnacentral:rRNA from 1 species
CCUACGGGAGACAGCAGUGGGGGAUAUUGCACAAUGGGGGGAACCCUGAUGCAGCGACGCCGCGUGGGUGAAGGAGCGUUUCGGCGCGUAAAGCCCUAUCGGCAGGGAGAAAGAUGAGGGAACUGAACCAGGAGCCCCCGGCUAACAACGUGCCAGCGGCCGCGGUAAUACGUAGGGGGCAAGCGUUAUCCGGAUUUACGGGGGGUAAAGGGGGCGCAGACGGCAAUGCAAGCCAGGAGUGAAAGCCCGGGGCCCAACCCCGGGACUGCUCUUGGAACUGCAUGGCUGGAGUACAGGAGGGGCAGGCGGAAUUGCUAGUGUAGCGGUGAAAUGCGUAGAUAUUAGGAGGAACACCGGUGGCGAAGGCGGCCUGCUGGACUGUGACUGACGUUGAGGCCCGAAGGCGUGGGGAGCAAACAGGAUUAGAUACCCCAGUAGUC